rnacentral:rRNA from 1 species
UACGUAGGGUGCAAGCGUUAAUCGGAAUUACUGGGCGUAAAGCGUGCGUAGUCGGUUAUUUAAGUCGGGCGUGAAAGCCCCGGGCUCAACCUGGGAAUUGCGUUCGAUACUGGAUAGCUAGAGUUCGGCAGAGGGAAGCGGAAUUUCCGGUGUAGCGGUGAAAUGCGUAGAUAUCGGAAGGAACAUCAGUGGCGAAGGCGGCUUCCUGGACCAGAACUGACGAUCAGGCACGAAAGCGUGGGGAGCAAACAGG